rnacentral:tRNA from 1 species
GGGGCUGUAGCUCAGUGGUAGAGUGCUCGCUUAGCAUGUGUGAGGCACUGGGUUCCAUCCUCAGCACCA